CAGCCGCCGCGGGAAUACGUAGGGUGCAAGCGUUAAUCGGAAUUACUGGGCGUAAAGCGUGCGCAGGCGGUUAUAUAAGACAGAUGUGAAAUCCCCGGGCUCAACCUGGGAACUGCAUUUGUGACUGUAUAGCUAGAGUACGGCAGAGGGGGAUGGAAUUCCGCGUGUAGCAGUGAAAUGCGUAGAUAUGCGGAGGAACACCGAUGGCGAAGGCAAUCCCCUGGGCCUGUACUGACGCUCAUGCACGAAAGCGUGGGGAGCAAACAGGAUUAGAUACCCCGGUAGUCCCUGUCUCUUUACA
rnacentral:rRNA from 1 species